rnacentral:misc_RNA from 1 species
AACGCACAUUGCGCCCGCCAGUAUUCUGGCGGGCAUGCCUGUCCGAGCGUCAUUUCAACCCUCAGGCCCCCCGGGCGCCUGGCGUUGGGGAUCGGCGGCGCCGCACCUCCGGGUCGCGGCGGCCGUCCCCGAAAUACAGUGGCGGCCCCGCUGCAGUCCUCCUCUGCGUAGUAUAGCACACCUCGCACUGGAACGCGGCGGCGGCCACGCCGUAAAACAACCCACUUCUGAAAGUUGACCUCGGAUCAGGUAGGAAUACCCGCUGAACUUAA